rnacentral:rRNA from 1 species
GUGGAGGGCCGAACCCACUUAGGUUGAAAACUGAGGGGAUGACUUGUGGAUAGGAGUGAAAGGCCUAUCAAACCUGGAGAUAUCUCGUUCUCUCCGAAAUAGCUUUAGGGCUAGCCUCGGAUGUUUACCAAUGGGGGUAGAGCACUGAAUAGUUGCGGGGGCUUCACCGCCUACCAAGAUUAAUCAAACUCCGAAUACCAUUGGUCUAGAAUCCGGGAGUCAGAAUAUGUGGGCUAAGCUGUGUAUUCGAAAGGGAAACAGCCCAGACCGCCCGCUAAGGUCCCAAAAUCAAUGCUAAGUGGAAAACGAUGUGAUUUUGCGCAGACAACCAGGAUGUUGGCUUAGAAGCAGCCAUUCAUUUAAAGAGUGCGUAAUAGCUCACUGGUCGAGUGAAGUUGCGCGGAAAAUUACCGGGGCUAAGUUAUACACCGAAAUUGCGGAUUCAUUAAGAAAUUAAUGAGUGGUAGAGGAGCGUUCUAUACAGGAUGAAGUAUGAUCGAGAGGACAUAUGGACAGUAUAGAAGAGAGAAUGCCGGAAUGAGUAGCGAGAGCAAAGUG